AGCUCAUGGGCCUGGCCCGCUUGAGAACCACCAGACUACAAGUACGCGAGAGGAGCCGACGAAGGAGGCCAUCCAGUGGAUCAGAAACGGCGGCGGCGGCACCUAUCUUCGUGUUCCUCUUGUUCCUCAUUCCCUGUAGCUCGUGUUGGCGAUUGUAACUGGAGCUUGUAUCCUGAAUUCGUGAGCGAUACUAAUAGAUCGAGAGGUUACUAAUAGUUCCUUACAUCUGGUAUCAGAGCCAGUCCACCACCUUUCCAUCAUCCAAUUUUUUCCUAAUUUUUCUUCCACACCGAUUCAUCUGUUCCACCGGCGACGACGCCAUGCCUGCCGACUUACCACCGGAGUGGGACGCCAUGUCUGCCAAGGAGCAGUUGUUGUGGUAGCUCGAGAGAUUAUGCACUAAGGCGGAGGAGAUGAGCUCGGCGUUGGGUAUUGCACGCGUGGGUGACCCUCCCGUGGCUACCUUGCUUGUCGAUCCGGCGGCCUCAACCACGACGCAUGCCUCGUCCACGAUCGUCCCUGACGUCUCCUCCAACACCAAGGCCCAGGAGGUCCUCGAGGUCGUCCAUGACGCGCCCCCUGCCUCCAUCGCGAUGGCGCACGUCAGCUGUUCGACGGAUGGCUCGAACGAAGUUGUCGCCUUCAACAUCAUCAACAAGGUCACCACUGCUAUCUUCCCCGAGCUUUCCGUCCUCCCGAACGACAAGGAGGUCGAGCAGUUGCCUUCGUACGCGGUCAGUGAGGAGGACGCCGCUCCUGUGGCGAUCACAGCUAAUGCUCUUGCCCAACUGGGUUCUCCUGGGACGACAGUGGCGUACGAUAGCGUCGUCAUCAGUGAUGCCAACAACUGUGCUACACCUGUGCCGACCAUGUGUUCGACGGAAUUCUCGAGUCGAGAUAUCAUUGUGGCGAUGUCUGCGCUUGCCACAGCUGCGACACCUGAAUUGUCCUCGACCAUUGUCGACUUUGUCCCUGAGCUCACUUCCUGUGAUGCAGACGUUGAGGCCUUUCACAUUGGUGCCAAUGGUGUCGAUGCAAUGGCACCCACCAGAGACUUGACUGACUGCCUCGGCGACAACCUCAAUCAGGGGAGUGAGGUUUUACCCAUGUCCUACUGUGUAUUUGGUAGCUCUCACGGAGGAGAGUGUUGGAAGCAUCCAUGGCCACCACCUCAGGUUAUGUCACUGACGGGGAUCUACGAUACUGCACCGAUUCCUAUGGAGCAACAGUUAUGUUCCCAGUUACUUUUUCAUAGUGAUCAGAGUGGUGGCUCUAGCGGUAUGACUUGGGAUCCAGGAGUGUUACUGAAUUGCACUCGAUUAUCACACAAGGCGAACGAUGAGCUUUUUGGGUACAGAAAUGCAUCUAUUCAGAGUUUGCUUCGUCAACUAAUAGUGGAUUUGACUGGAAUUAAAAUUGACACGACUUCUCCAAAAAUUCAUGGUCCUGCUUCACAGUCAACUGAUACAGUUGUGGCUGAUGUUCUUAAUGAUCAUGAAGAGCAACACGUUUCUCGGGACAGGACAGUUCUUACUGCUAGUAGUGGUUCACAAUGGCAUGUUAUGUGUAUCAUUAUGGAGUUCGGUCAGUGCUUCUCUCGGAUUGGACAAAUUGAGUGGUUGUUUCCUAUUUGUCUGAAGAUGAUGACGCGGUGCUUGGUUUUACUAUCUCCUGCCGACAUUGAGUAUGAGCUGUGGCGUCGACCAGAUCAAACUGAAAAUUGUGGUGUGCUUGUGAAGUUCAGAAUAUUGCAUAUUUUCUAGCCCCUUCAGUCAAGCUGCAACCAUGGCCUUCCUGUAGACUAUCACUAAUUUCUCUAGCUAGCAUCUCUGAACAAUGGAUAUUUAACUAUGACGAGCAUCCUGUUGUAUCUAUUAUUCCAUGGCAUGAGAAACUCUAUAGGGCCAUACAUACCAGGAGCAUGUCAGUGAAUUGGACAUUUAUGAGUCGAAGGGAAAUCAAGUUUCGAUCUGAAGCGGACUAUCUUGAGGAGCUAUGUUCAAUUUGGUCUGACUGCCACCAUACUGCAAUUAUUUACUUGAGGGAAGAGGGAAUUAUGGAGAGAAAGAUUCCCACCGUGCUAGCAAAUUCUAGGGGAGUGGGAAUGUAGGCAACAAGAAUGCUCUGUGUCCCUAGACCACCUGCCAAACCUCCUGAAGAUUAUGAUAAGUGUAUCCUUGUUUUCGUAAGAAUGCAGGCGAUCACUCCAGCAUCAUCACCAAGCUGUGCGCUUACCACGUUGAAGCCACUGUUUGAGAUGCUACAUCUGCCGAUGCGAGGAAACUACGGUGCACUGUCUGAUUCUUCAGGUUGUCCUCUGCCUUCACACCUUGGUAGUUUUUCCGUGCUUAAAUGGUAUCUUCAAAUUACACUCAUUUCUCUAGCCGCACCCCGGGGCCAGUGCAGUUGUGAACAUUUUCAACCUUGGAUCACUAGCACAAAAGUACUAUAUUUCACUGACUUUGCCAGUGGAAGUCGACAUAUGUCCCAAUUACAUUUUCAUGCUUGUCAUAGUGGCAGCCGGACAGUGACUCGAGAAACAUCUUCUAUUGGCACAUUGCAUACACAUGCAGGUUGUAUGGCCUAUCUGAAUCUUAUCAGCAUUACUUUGAGGUGUUCAGAAGCAAUACAUGGGGUGCAUGUGACCUACAAGAGUGUACAGUCUUAUGUAUCCUAUAUGGUGCAUGCUCCUGCAUGUAGUAUUCCUGGUGAGAAAUUCCAAAGGAAAAUUCAGCUUAUGCGCGUGUCAGUGCACGGGGAAAUUUUUAGAGAAGGGUGUUUUAAUGGGAGUGUCUGUUACACUUGGGAAUGCAAUUCUGACAAGCCUCAGCAGGCUUGCUGUUGUACACUCAACCAAGUUUAUCACAAGCUGGACAACUUCAUUUCAUUGUCAGUUAAGCAUCACUUGUCACUCACUGAACCUGAACCUGGAGUGGACACAUGCAAGCAUGAACAAAAAACUGGCGAUUCAAGAGUUGGAGUUCGACUUAUUAUCCUGAUCAUCGUAACCCUUCUGAACGAUCUACCAGAGAAAUCCUUGCUUGACGAUGCUACUGGAACCAUUCACCAUUUGAUACGGACACCUAUUGGUGCUGAGUUGCAGCAACAUGACCAAAUAGCUCAUAGGGACAAUCCCAUUCAUCAUUUAGUGAAGCAACAAAUGUCACUCUCUGAACCUGAUGAGAAUGCAAACAUGCAUGAACACAUCCAAGUUGCAAAUGUGCGCAGGUCAUGGGACCCUGGGAGCGCUACCAUGCCAACUUCUCAUCUUCAGCUGGCCAAAAAUGUAGUGGCGAUGGUCAGCAGCAAGGAAGCACGAGCCAUGGGUGGAAUGGUGUCUUGUACCCUCUCCUGCCAAGAGCAUGUUCAAGAAGGGGGGGUCUGUCAUCGUUGUCACUGUCGGCUUCGUGCAACACUUCGUCGACAGCUUCAACAUCUGCUUUCUCGGCAUCUCCUUCGACUCGGGCACCAUCGUCCACGACUACUACUCCCACGUCGUUCCAGCCAGCAUCGACUUCAGCUCCCAUGGCGACUUCGAGCUAGUCAAGGACCAUCGAGUGCAAUGGGAUCCGGGUGGUUCUCGGCGGCGGCGGCUUGAGGUCAAGCCGAAUCUCAAGGAAGGGGGGAUGUUAGGAGCCCACCUUGCCUAUAUGGGCUCGCCCCGUCCAGCUCAUGGGCCUGGCCCGCUUGAGAACCACCAGACUACAAGUACGCGAGAGGAGCCGACGAAGGAGGCCAUCCAGUGGAUCAGAAACGGCGGCGGCGGCACCUAUCUUCGUGUUCCUCUUGUUCCUCAUUCCCUGUAGCUCAUGUUGGCGAUUGUAACUGGAGCUUGUAUCCUGAAUUCGUGAGCGAUACUAAUAGAUCGA
rnacentral:lncRNA from 1 species